UGUAGUACCUUCUCCGUCCCGUCGCGGGACUUUUGCCCUCCAGUUCCCGGUUCCCUCAGGCCGCCUCCCCAGUGGGCACACGCCCAGGCGCCUUGCCCCGCGUUCCCUCCCUCUGCCUUUCACUUCCCAGCUGCCAAGAUCUUGGAAGCUUUGAAGCUCAGAGAAGAAGGAAAAUCCAUUGAGAACAGUCUGUAAAGGGCCUCAGUUCUGUCCUGUGAAUGGUACGCAGAUCAGCAAGACACCUACUCGUUGUGUCUAUGGACUCCUGUAUGAAAUGGGUGUGCAUAUGAGAUCCACCCCGCCUCACCUUGGGUGUUGCAAAGGAUUGUUGGAACGUGAGAGAAACCAGCUGCUGCAAGUUUCAUUAGCAGCCAUGAAUGCUAUAAUAAAUGUGGAUUGCUACCUUGGGGAGGGAAGGCUGCAGAGCUGCAAUAUCAGAUGGCCGAAAGCAAUUCAGAAAUCCUGUGUCCCCAAGGACACCCAUUGCCGUUCAGAAGUAGCAGGAGAGGGGGUGGAAUAAAUCAUUUCCUCUGAUCUUGUUAGUGUUGAGAAUAUUAUGGAGAAGCAAAUGCAUUGCAGCACUAAUACCAGAAGGCUACUGCAGGCAGAGGGGGGGAAUAACAAGAUUUCUCUGCUUUUUUAGAGGCUUACCUUAAAUAUGAUUUCCCCUUUAUGUAUUUUUAAAAUUGUUGUAUGAGGGGUUUCCCCCUCCCUUCCGAUCCUGAAGUUUCUUCCUUCUGUUUUGUCAUCUUGUCU